rnacentral:misc_RNA from 1 species
GAUGAAGAACGUAGUGAAAUGCGAUAAGUAAUGUGAAUUGCAGAAUUCAGUGAAUCAUCGAAUCUUUGAACGCACAUUGCGCCCGCCAGUAUUCUGGCGGGCAUGCCUGUCCGAGCGUCAUUUCAACCCUCGAACCCCUCCGGGGGGUCGGCGUUGGGGACCUCGGGAGCCCCUAAGACGGGAUCCCGGCCCCGAAAUACAGUGGCGGUCUCGCCGCAGCCUCUCCUGCGCAGUAGUUUGCACAACUCGCACCGGGAGCGCGGCGCGUCCACGUCCGUAAAACACCCAACUUCUGAAAUGUUGACCUCGGAUCAGGUAGGAAUACCCGCUGAACUUAAGUAUAUCAAUAAGCGGAGGA